GAUGAACGCUGGCGGCGUGCCUAAUACAUGCAAGUCGAGCGAACGGACGAGAAGCUUGCUUUUCUGAUGUUAGCGGCGGACGGGUGAGUAACACGUGGAUAACCUACCUAUAAGACUGGGAUAACUUCGGGAAACCGGAGCUAAUACCGGAUAAUAUUUUGAACCGCAUGGUUCAAAAGUGAAAGACGGUCUUGCUGUCACUUAUAGAUGGAUCCGCGCUGCAUUAGCUAGUUGGUAAGGUAACGGCUUACCAAGGCAACGAUGCAUAGCCGACCUGAGAGGGGGAACGGCCACACUGGAACUGAGGCACGGUCCAAACUCCUAAGGGGGGCAGCAGUAGGGAAUCUUCCGGAAUGGGCGGAAGCCCGACGGGGCAACGCCGCGGGGGGUGUGAAGGUCUUCGGAUCGUUAAACCCUUUUAUUAGGGAAGAACAUAUGUGUAAGUAACUGUGCACAUCUUGACGGUACCUAAUCAGAAAGCCACGGCUAACUACGUG
rnacentral:rRNA from 1 species